ensembl:misc_RNA Metazoa_SRP Metazoan signal recognition particle RNA
GCUGGGUGUGGUGGUGUAUACCUGGAGUCUCAGCUACUCAGGAGGCUGAGGUGGGAGGAUCACUUGAGCCCAGGAGUUUGAGGCUGCAGUGAGCUAUGGUCACACCACUGUACUCCAGUCUGGGCAACAAAGUGAUACCUUAUCUCUU